UUCAAAUCAGUCUAUAUGUUAAUAACCAAUAAAGAUAUAUUUAUUUGAGGUUUCUAUAUCAUUGAUACAGUAAAACACUGGCCAAUAAAAAUGUUUGCCUUAUCAAUCAGCCAGGGUGAAUGGUCGUUUGUAAGUGCAUUAUAUCAAUUUUUGUUUUGCAUUAGAUGGAUGUUACAAAGUAUGCUUUGCUUAUUCAUUAUCCCUAGAUUUUUCAAGUGAGGCAGCGACUCUGAAUAAAUAUUAUCACUGACAAAAUGAUAAAAAACUAGGGCUGUAAUCCCAAAUAAAAAUCCUUUAACAAUACAUUAACCAUUCUAUAAUUGAAUAAUUAUAACGGGGUCAAAUAAAGGAUUGCAUUGUAAUAGUGGUUUGAAUCGUGCGAUCUUUUGGAUGGGCCCUUCUUUAAAUUCCUGUCAUCCUUGAUUGACAUUGAUUUGUUUGACGUAAAGGCAAUGUUAAUGAUUGGCGCGUUAGAUCACCAAAUGCAAAUUAAGUAAACGAUAUAUAUCAAGUAAGCACUCUUCAAUUCAUUUAUUUAGUGACUUCAAAAUGGAUACGGAAAUACACAGAAACUUCAUAUAUGUUUUGUUGCUGGCUAUAUGUGUAAGCUAUACCAUUGAUGCUAUCCCUUGUCCGGCAUGGUAUAGAUAUCGUGAUGUUUAUA